GGGGCUGUCAUGGUUUCGACAGGGAUAUGUCUAGUAUGAACUGCAGUCGGCUGAUGGCGUAACCAUCAAUCCAAUUUAACUGGAAAAAACAAAUUAUCAAGCUUCUUUGGUGCAAACCAAAGCAUGGCUUUAGCUGCUUAAUUUAACCUAAAUACUGGUUUGCAGCCUUGGUAGUGAGCGUAUCUUUCCGCUUGCUAAUCUCGUAUAACUAGGAAGAUAGAGAAUGUAUUUGGUUUAGCUGCAUUCUUGAAAUUGAAUAGACCAAAUUGUUAGACUCGAUUGUUUGUUUUCAAUCUAACUCUUACAUUAACAAACUAAACUGUAGAUGUUUGUACACGAGGCUAUUUUUGGACAGGAGUUCGACUCUCCUCAGCUCCACCA
rfam:Erysipelotrichaceae bacterium MTC7 Contig_1, whole genome shotgun sequence.